GAUGAACGCUGGCGGCGUGCCUAAUACAUGCAAGUCGAGCGAAUGGAUUAAGAGCUUGCUCUUAUGAAGUUAGCGGCGGACGGGUGAGUAACACGUGGGUAACCUGCCCAUAAGACUGGGAUAACUACGGGAAACCGGGGCUAAUACCGGAUAACAUUUUGAACCGCAUGGUUCGAAAUUGAAAGGCGGCUUCGGCUGUCACUUAUGGAUGGAACCGCGUCGCAUUAGCUAGUUGGUGAGGUCACGGCUCACCAAGGAAACGAUGCGUAGCCGAUCUGAGAGGGUGAUCGGCCACACUGGGACUGAGACACGGCCCAGACUCCUACGGGAGGCAGCAGUAGGGAAUCUUCCGCAAUGGACGAAAGUCUGACGGAGCAACGCCGCGUGAGUGAUGAAGGCUUUCGGGUCGUAAAACUCUGUUGUUAGGGAAGAACAAGUGCUAGUUGAAUAAGCUGGCACCUUGACGGUACCUAACCAGAAAGCCACGGCUAACUGCGUGCCAGCAGCCGCCGUAA
rnacentral:rRNA from 1 species